rnacentral:tRNA from 1 species
AGCUUUUUAGUUUAGAUAAAAUAACUGGCUUCGGAUCAGUAGAGACAAGGGUUAGGUUGUAGAAGUUG